UCCCUACGGGGGGCAGCAGUGAGGAAUAUUGGUCAAUGGGAGAGAUCCUGAACCAGCCAAGCCGCGUGAGGGAAGACGGCCCUAUGGGUUGUAAACCUCUUUUGUCGGAGAACAAAACCCGGGACGUGUCCCGGACUGCGUGUAUCCGAAGAAAAAGCAUCGGCUAACUCCGUGCCAGCAGCCGCGGUAAUACGUAGGGGGCAAGCGUUAUCCGGAUUUACUGGGUGUAAAGGGAGCGUAGACGGCAGCGCAAGUCUGAAGUGAAAUGCCGGGGCUUAACCCCGGAACUGCUUUGGAAACUGUGC
rnacentral:rRNA from 1 species